GGGUGCCUGAUGCUUUCUGAGCGCAGGCAGGUGUGGUGAGCCAGAAAGCAAAUGCCCCGGAGAUGUUUCCAUCAACCGGGGCUACCACACCAAACCUCAACAAUUUGGAUGGUAGCCCCUUCUUAGCAAGGAGGCAAUGACAUGCUUAACAAG
rnacentral:antisense_RNA from 1 species